rnacentral:rRNA from 1 species
AUGAACGCUGGCGGCGCGCCUAAUACAUGCAAGUCGAGCGAGAAGACGUAGCAAUACGUUUGUAAAGCGGCGAACGGGUGAGGAAUACAUGGGUAACCUACCCUUGAGUGGGGAAUAACUAGCCGAAAGGUUAGCUAAUACCGCGUACGCUUCCUGGACUUCGGUUCAGGGAGGAAAGCGAUGCCGAGGGUAUCGCGCUCUUGGAUGGGCUCAUGUCCUAUCAGCUUGUUGGGAGGUAACGGCUCACCAAGGCUUCGACGGGUAGCUGGUCUGAGAGGACGAUCAGCCACACUGGCACUGCGACACGGGCCAGACUCCUACGGGAGGCAGCAGUAAGGAAUAUUGCGCAAUGGGCGAAAGCCUGACGCAGCGACGCCGC